UUCCUGCAAAACGGUAAUUGAAUCUCACUUCACCUAACAUUCUCAUAAACGGGAAUGACUUAUGAGGCGAGCAACAUUUUUAAAAGAAGGGUAAAUAUGGCAAGAUAAACCUAUGACUCCUAUUAGCGAUCUAGUGUUGUAUCUGAAGUUUGCUGAGCUCGGCUAGCCGCUUGGACCCCGGCCGUCUUUCCACGGACGUUCCCUGGCCCUGGCUACUUGGAUUGACAUGAACCUCCAAAGAUGUAUCUUUGCUGUUGCCGCUGCUGGCUCCAGCCUCAGCUCUCACCCUCAAAGGCAGGACCGUGACUCGUGGCGGAGGGAUUUUCUUGAGGGGUCUGGGUUUGAAGGACAACAGAAGUGAAGGAGAAGAGGAAAGAGUUGAAGCCAUGGCUAUUGUCAGAGACUCAGAUUUGUAAUUAGCUUUUGGUUCUUUGAUAUGGUGUUAUGGAGAAGAUGAAGGAGACAUUUAUAGAGAAAUGAGAAGAGAAGAAGAAUGAAGAUGAGUCUCGAGUGUUUUGGAAGUUCAUUCUAGAUUCUACACUUGUCACUUGUUAUACUCCAGACUAUUACUGGUAGAACUUCUCAGUGAUUCUUGAAAGGUCUACGGAAAUGACAGAAAUAAGAAGCUUGAUUCAAACCAGUUUAUCAUCAUGGAUUGGGUGGGACACGAGCAAGGACACCAAGAUUUUUCUACCGUCGAUUGUUUUGUAGAUUUUGGUUUUGUAAAUAUGGCUCUCCUUUUAAACAUCUAUACGAUCCGAAUUUGUUGGAAUUAAAUAUAACUAUAAUCUA